GUGGCUUAGUUGGUUGAAGCGCCGGACUUUCAAUACGAAGUCGUAGGUUCCAAUCCCACC
rnacentral:tRNA from 1 species